AGAGUUUGAUCAUGGCUCAGAUUGAACGCUGGCGGCAGGCCUAACACAUGCAAGUCGAGCGGUAACAGGAGGUAGCUUGCUACUUUGCUGACGAGCGGCGGACGGGUGAGUAAUGCCUGGGAAUAUGCCUUGAUGUGGGGGAUAACCAUUGGAAACGAUGGCUAAUACCGCAUAAUCUCUUCGGAGCAAAGAGGGGGACCUUCGGGCCUCUCGCGUCAAGAUUAGCCCAGGUGGGAUUAGCUAGUAGGUGAGGUAAUGGCUCACCUAGGCGACGAUCUCUAGCUGGUCUGAGAGGAUGAUCAGCCACACUGGAACUGAGACACGGUCCAGACUCCUACGGGAGGCAGCAGUGGGGAAUAUUGCACAAUGGGCGCAAGCCUGAUGCAGCCAUGCCGCGUGUGUGAAGAAGGCCUUCGGGUUGUAAAGCACUUUCAGUCGUGAGGAAGGCAGUUGCGUUAAUAGCGUAAUUGUUUGACGUUAGCGACAGAAGAAGCACCGGCUAACUCCGUGCCAGCAGCCGCGGUAAUACGGAGAGUGCGAGCGUUAAUCGGAAUUACUGGGCGUAAAGCGCAUGCAGGUGGUUAGUUAAGUCAGAUGUGAAAGCCCGGGGCUCAACCUCGGAAUUGCAUUUGAAACUGGCUAGCUAGAGUACUGUAGA
rnacentral:rRNA from 1 species